AAAUAAGAAGCAAAUAAUUUGCAUUUAGUUUCGACCUAAAAAUUUGAUUUUAAAAAUCCUUAUUUU
rnacentral:tRNA from 1 species